GGCACUGUGACCUUAUUGAUUCCAACUGAAUGUUUAUUUGUGUGGACAUUGAAAGACAUAGAGUCUGGAUUAAACUGAGAGAGGGACUGGACUUGUUUCUGUUUCUCAUCAUUAAGGUUUAUAUUAUAGACACUGUCAAGGGUAGGAGUAGGCUGCAUCAAAAGUAGAUUACUCCUUACCCCCAUGUAUGCUUCAUUAAGGCCUAUGAGAAACUGAAACACCUUAUUCUCAUCAUCUUCCUGUAUGAUGUCAUUUUUGGCAGCACAAAUAUAUCUUUGCCCAUGAUUUGUACACAUUGUUCCUAGUUCAUCCCACAGUCCUUUAAGUUUGUUAAAUUAUGAGGCUACAUCUAGGUAUCCUUGAUAAGUGUGAGAGAGUUCUCUUUUUUAGUUCAAAAAUUCUGGUUCUGUUAGCAGUAUCAUAUCUGGUCUCAAGUUGUGACCAUAUACUCUGUGCAGUAUCAGAAUACUGCACGCUUUCAGCAAUUUGAGGGGAGAGGGAGGUAGUUAACCAGGAAAUUACCAUAUUAUUACAUCUGUCCCACAACCUUUGUUCAGCCGCAUUGGUGGCUGGUCGGGGACACGUACCAUCAACAAAGCCAAUUUUGUUCUUAGCAGACUGCGCUACAAUCAUUUUCCUCCUCCAACCCCCAUAUCCACUACCCGAGAAGGGAGUAGUCACAAGAGAAACUCAAGAUUCGUAACAGACAACGCUACAAUCAGUUUCCUCCUCCAACCCCCAUAACCACGACCCGAGAAGGGAGUGGACACAAGAGAAACACUAGGAACAUCAGAGGAGUAAACAAAAAGGGGACUGGUAGGGUCAACAGGAGUUGUAUUAGCACUCAUGUUAGCAGCCAUGAACAACAAUGAGUUUAAAAUCAAAAGAUAUAGGAACAUCAGAGGAGUAAACAAAAAGGGGACUGGUAGGGUCAACAGGAGUUGUAUUAGCACUCAUGUUAGCAGCCACGAACAACAAUGAGUUUAAAAUCAAAAGAUAGUCUCUAUAAUCAGUUUGAAAAACUAAAGUUGUAUCAAAAGCCUCAUGCAAAUCAUAUAGCACCUAAAAUAAGAACAGAUUUACCCUCCUUCUUCGCGACCGGAGAAGAACGGCCUUCGAUUAACAGAAAAUACCAGUUCCGAGCAGCAGAAACCCUAAAAUCUGAAGUCUUGCCGGGAUCGAGUCGAGGACGUCAGAAAACCAACCAAAAUGUCCAAGCAGUGAAGAUGCAGCCCGAUAAUAGUGAUAGAAGUCUCAUAUUAACAGUCGAUUCAUAUCGAGAUCAUCACUGACCGAAUAUCUCACAAAUACCCGAAAACUUUCAAACACGAUUUCGACCGGAAUAACAAGAUAUAACAGAGAAUCAUCUGAUGAUCGUUUGCUCUGAUACCAUGAAAACAUAGCAAAUGAAAACGAAGAUGACGAUGAGAGAAGAGGAGUUCUUCAGAGAACUCUCUGGAAGUUCUUAGAGAGAAAAUGAAAAUGUUAUAUAAAAUAUCUGUGUUAU
rnacentral:lncRNA from 1 species